CCAAGUGUAAGUAUUCAGGAGAUGCUCGGUAUCGGUACUAAUACCGAUACUAGUAUCGGUAUUGGGACAUCCCUAAUUGGGUGUAAAUGACGGACAUGGCUUCUUAACAUGGAAAAUUAGUGAAAUCAAUACCAUUUCAUGGACUCACCUCCAUAAUAUCUUGCACCCCAUCCAGUCACCCAGCACUCCGUACCACAAGGGAAGGUGGUGGUGGAAGAUGGCAGACAGAUUGGCAUGAUGUACUGAGUAUAGUUGACAGGUGUGGCCAGCCGUAUCAGGGCGAUGUCCCCAGAGUCUCCAUCACUUACAUAUCUACUAUCGAUGAUGAUAGUUCUUACAUUGGCAACAACUGUAUGAGAGCUGAUCUCACCCAGCCGGUACAGGCCCAAAUAUACUUUAUAAUUCGACACCCGGAUAGGUCUGCAGAAAGAAAACAGAACAUAACAUGUAUGAAUGAGGAUCCAUCUGUUACAGGAGGCAAGGCAAUAUCAUUACUAUCAAUGAACUUCAGACUCUAAUGAAUGAAAUACAACUUGUUCAUAAUUUGUUUUCUACACAAGUCCAAUGGUAUGAACUCAGGCAGGAUCAUCAGUUUACUGAGAUAGCGCUGUGAUUGGACGCCUAUCAGGAAGAGGACGGGAGAAGACAUCGAAGACUCGGAGCGUGGAGUAUAGCAGCGUGACCCGAGACAGUUUGUUUGCGCCCCCCAAAAAUGUUGAGCCCCAGUCGCCACUGAUAAACAAUGUAUCAAUAAAGAUGUCCAUGACUGAUUUUUAGAAACAUUUU